UUGCAGCUUCAAAGUGCACCUGUGGAGCAAUCAGAGUGAUUUGGCCAGGGCUGGUGAGGGCUUGCAAAGUGUGAAUAGAAAAGCUGAACAGAGCGUUUGGGGCCAUGCAGCCUCUGGGUCUGCUGGGCAUACACAAGUGUUGUCUGCCCGGAGGAGACCUGACUUGCUGUAUCCUGAAGCUUUCAGAAAGGCUUUUGCUUGGCAGCCGUGGCACUCUGAAGGCAGAAGCUGAGAGAUGGAUGUGUCCUGCAGAGCUGACGUAGAGAGAUGAGGAAACUCAAGGUCCUGUGACUCGGCCAGCUGAAUACCUAGACCAGUGUCUAUCUGACAACGAAGCUCCCACUUCAGGGAAGCAGAUGGCUUGCAGGCCUGGUAUCUACCUUGCUAAUCACUCAGAGGCUGACAUAUCCUUUGUUCAGUGUUUCAUCUCUAACUGAUCAGCUUAAUCAACGUACUUCCAACUGUUUCCUGUGGUCCUUUGUAAACAAGCAGCAGGAUUUUCUCCAGAAGAUGGAUUAUGCAUUUUACCUUUAGUAGGAGUUCUAAUUUAUCUCUGAGCACUGGUACAUAUUAAAUGUGUCUACCAGAAUGUCAUGGUGGCCUGUUCCUCCUUCCUGUGGGCCUGAUCCAGUAUGGACUCGACUCAUGUAGCUUGAGAUAAAGGAGAGAGGAACUUGAGGAUGGUUGUAUUGGGUCUCUUUCUUUGGGGACAGCUCAGUCCAUGCGGCAGCAAAUAGUGAUAGAGGACAAAAUC